GACGAACCGUGCAAACGUUAUUCGGAAUCACUGGGCAUAAAGGGCGCGUAGGCGGCUUUCUAAGUCAGGGGUGAAAUCCGGCAGCUCAACUGUCGCAGUGCCUUUGAUACUGGAGAGCUCGAGGGAGGUAGGGGUCUGUGGAACUUCCGGUGGAGCGGUGAAAUGCGUUGAUAUCGGAAGGAACGCCGGUGGCGAAAGCGACGGACUGGAUCUCUUCUGACGCUGAGGUGCGAAAGCGUGGGGAGCAAACAGG
rnacentral:rRNA from 1 species